rnacentral:rRNA from 1 species
AGAGUUUGAUCCUGGCUCAGGACGAACGCUGGCGGCGCGCUUAACACAUGCAAGUCGAACGGGGCCCUUCGGGGUUCAGUGGCGAACGGGUGCGUAACACGUGAGUGACCUGCCCUUGUGCGGGGGAUAACCCGGGGAAACCCGGGCUAAUACCGCAUGAAUUCUUUUGGCUUCAUGGCUGGGAGAAGAAAGAUGCUGUAAGGCAUCGCGCAGGGAGGGGCUCGCGGCGUAUCAGGUAGUUGGUGAGGUAACGGCUCACCAAGCCUAUGACGCGUAGGGGGUCUGAGAGGAUGGCCCCCCACAUUGGGACUGAGAUACGGCCCAGACUCCUACGGGAGGCAGCAGUAGGGAAUCUUCCGCAAUGGACGAAAGUCUGACGGAGCAACGCCGCGUGAGUGAUGAAGGUUUUCGGAUCGUAAAACUCUGUUGUUAGGGAAGAACAAGUACGAGAGUAACUGCUCGUACCUUGACGGUACCUAACCAGAAAGCCACGGCUAACUACGUGCCAGCCGCCGCGGUAAUAC